CCUGUGUGACCAGCCACAGAACUCACUCAGCAUUGGCACCCACAGCCGGGACAGGCAGGGUGCUGGGCCCGUGGUUUCCUGCAUCUGCUGAUACCACCCAAGGCUGCCAGGCCAUAACAUGAAGUCAUCUGUGCCAGGAAAUCCUGAGCCUCGCCCACACCUGGCCCUGGGCCGUCCCUGCAUGCCAAGGGGUUGUGGGACCUCGCAGGCCUGCAGGCAGGGGGGUGGGCGCUGGGCUGGGGUCCGAGUGUGCCCCUGCUCUAGGGCAUGGCCGGCAGGUGGGGACAGGGAAAAGGAAGGAGCGGGAUUCCUGCCUGGCUAUGGCAGUCUUACCCCACGGAAUCCAGGCUCCAACUGACCUCACCAUUGUGCGGGUUAAUUUUGAUUCUUAAAACCUUCAUCUAAAGACCUUUGCUUCCUGUAACACAGGCCUGGGUUUUCCCAAAAGUCGUGGGGACCUGGCCCGGCACGUGCUGCUCAGUGCGGGGACCUCACAGCCUGUUCUAUGUGAGCCGGACAGGAAAGGCUCCACGGGCAAACUCACUCUCCGUGACAAUCAGGAGGUUUCUGCUCCAGCCACAAGAAGGAGCUAGGGGAGCUCCUGAGGCCAGGAAGAGAACAGCCCUAAUCCCAUCCUUUCCCUCCUCAGCAGGGACCCCAGGGUCUGCUGUCUUGCCCCAACCCACACUUCAAAGAAGGAAGGACACCUGCCUGCCCCUGCUGCCUCACACCCCGAAGCAUGCCACAGCCCCGAAUGCAGGUCUAGCCACAGAAGCGCUGGAGAGUGGAGGCUGAGAGUGGCGCUGGUUGAAGAUUUCUCACAGGAAACACAAGGCACGGCCUCCACGUGGCUCGAGGCCGUGAGAACCCUCGACUCAAACCAUUGCACAUGGGCUGGAUACAGAGUCUGCGGGCCUGCGAUGGAGGCGCCACCGUCUCACCAGGAGUCCACGGCCCUCGGUCUCUGUGCUCCCUGAACCUAAGGUGAGGAACCCAUGCCUUGUGGUUGACGAGGGCUGCUGGGGCACCUGCCCUCUCAUCUGCAUCCUGGAAGGCAGGAAGGAGCACAGAGGAAAACACAAGCCUGCUCUGGCCAGCUCAGUGUGCGCCUUCCAGAAACAGGUAAACAUGAAAUUACCCUGUGAAGCCGCCAUUCCGUUCCUAGAUCUAUCCCCAAAAGAAAUCCAAGCAGAGACUCAAACACUUGCACAGCCCUUGCCACGGCCCGGAUGUACUUAGUGCCUCUGUUCCCAGCAAAACUCUUGUUGAAACAGGACCCCCAGUGUGGCAGCGCAGGGAGAUGGGUCCUGAGGGGAGGGAGACGUGCAGGUCGUGGGAGUGACUCCCUGGGGAGUGCCUGGUGCUGGGAGUGACUCUCCUCUUGUGAUACGGGGUGAGUUCCCAUGGGAAUGGAUUUGUUCCCAUGAGCGGGGCUUGUUCUGAAGCCAACACAUCCCUGGGCUUUAUCUCUCUUCCCAUGUCUGCUUCCCCUUUGACCUCCGCCAGCAGAAGCAGAAGGGCCAUGCCAUUGAACUUCUCAGCUGACAGAAACGUGAGCUUUAUGAAUUACUCCAUCUCAGAGGUUGUUUUAUGGCCACACAGAAUGGACUCAGACCCCCGUGCUCAUAGCCGUGUAGUCACAAUAGCCCAAAGGUGGAAACAGCCAGCAGGUGAGGGGAUGUGGAACGGGGCAGACACACACAUCGGGGUCUCACCGAGCCUGGAAAAGGAGUGUGCUCUGACACAAGCAGCAACACACCAACCUUCACAACCUCAUGCCCAGUGAAGCCAGCUGGUCCCAAUAGGACCAACGCGGUGACCCCACAGAGGGAAGGCCCCCAGAGGAGUCAGAGUCAAGAGAAGGACGACCGAAUGGUGGUCAGCAGGGCCCGGGGGAGUGGCCGAUGGGAGUGAGUGAUUAGUCAGGACGGAGCUCCAGUUUCACCCGAUGAAAACGUGCUGGAGCUGCAUGGUGGUGACAGCGGCAUAGCCGUGGGCAUGUUCUCACUGCCACGGAAUGUGCACUUCCCAUGGCGAUGAUGGGAAAUCUCAUGUACCCACAUUUGACUACAGAGAGGAAGGAAGGAAGGGAGGGGGGAGGGAGGAGGGAGGGAAGG